rnacentral:RNase_P_RNA from 2 species
UCAGAAGGAAGCUCACCACUGAGGACACUUGCUGAGUGCUGGUCAUUCCCUCCUCUCUGCCUCUGGGAAGGUCUGAGACAAGAGCCAGCAGCUGCCCUGGCAGAACACCCCCUGAUGCAGGGGGAUGAGGUACCAGGGAGGCUAGGCCCUCCCUUGGGAGAGACACAGGAAGUCAAUGAGGAAGGGGGGUUCCUUCUCUGGCUGAUGUCUGCUCCCUGUGGAGGCUCGUUGAGACAGGCUCAUGGCUGGCACUUCUGAGUCCAAUGGGAUGAGAUGAGGCCUGUGUCCCCUGCAUACCCCUCACAACCCAAUUCAGACUACUCUCCCUCUGA